GGAUGUAGUCAGGGUAUCCAAUCUGCUCCCGGAUGCUCAGAGCCUGACAAGGAGCAGAGGGCUGGUCCAUGUCUGUCCCAGACUCCUGGUCCAUCCAGCCCAGCUCAUCCAGAGUCUCCACGAAUACCUUGCGCACAGUGUUGAUGAGGUUCUUCACCUUUUUGGCCCCUUUGUCAUAUAUUAAGUGGCUGUAUAUGUGUGGGCUGAUUUCACUGGGACAUCUGGGUCUCCAUAAGAAGAAACGAAACAGUUCUUACAACUCAUGCUGUAGAAGAAGUAACUCAAGCUGGAAUAUAGACUUCAACAACUGCUGAGUAAGUUAAUAUUUGUUUCUUUUUUAAAAAUGUUUUAAUAUUUUUAUUUUCCCUUUUGUUGCCCUUGUUGUUUUUCAUUGUUGUCUUAGUUAUUAUUGUUGUUGUUAUUGAUGUCCUCUUUGUUAGAUAGGACAGAGAGAAAUGGAGAGAGGAGGGGAAGACAGAGGGGUGGAGAGAAAG